rnacentral:rRNA from 1 species
GACGAACGCUGGCGGCGUGCCUAAUACAUGCAAGUCGAGCGCAGGAAGCUCACGGAACUCUUCGGAGGGAAGUGAAGGGAAUGAGCGGCGGACGGGUGAGUAACACGUAAGGAACCUGCCCCAAGGAUUGGGAUAACUCCGAGAAAUCGGAGCUAAUGCCGAAUAGUUCUUCAGACCGCAUGGACGGUGAUGAUGAAAGGCGCUUCGGCGUCACCUUGGGAUGGCCUUGCGGUGCAUUAGCGAGUUGGUGGGGUAAUGGCCCACCAAGGCGACGAUGCAUAGCCGACCUGAGAGGGUGAUCGGCCACACUGGGACUGAGACACGGCCCAGACUCCUACGGGAGGCAGCAGUAGGGAAUCUUCCACAAUGGACGAAAGUCUGAUGGAGCAACGCCGCGUGAGUGAUGAAGGUUUUCGGAUCGUAAAACUCUGUUGUAAGGGAAGAACAGGUAUGAGAGGUAAUGCUCAUGCUAUGACGGUACCUUACGAGAAAGCCACGGCUAACUACGUGCCAGCCGCCGCUGUAAAAC